ACGUACACUCCUGCGGGAGGCAGCAGUGGGGAAUAUUGGACAAUGGGCGCAAGCCUGAUCCAGCCAUGCCGCGUGAGUGAUGAAGGCCCUAGGGUUGUAAAGCUCUUUCACAGGUGAAGAUAAUGACGGUAACCGGAGAAGAAGCCCCGGCUAACUUCGUGCCAGCAGCCGAGGUAAUACGAAGGGGGCUAGCGUUGUUCGGAUUUACUGGGCGUAAAGCGCACGUAGGCGGACUAUUAAGUCAGGGGUGAAAUCCCGGGGCUCAACCCCGGAACUGCCUUUGAUACUGGUAGUCUUGAGUUCGAGAGAGGUGAGUGGAAUUCCGAGUGUAGAGGUGAAAUUCGUAGAUAUUCGGAGGAACACCAGUGGCGAAGGCGGCUCACUGGCUCGAUACUGACGCUGAGGUGCGAAAGCGUGGGGAGCAAACAGGAUUAGAUACCCCUGUAGUCCCA
rnacentral:rRNA from 1 species